ACGGAAAGGCCCCCACCUUGGUGGGGGUGCUCGAGUGGCGAACGGGUGAGUAACACGUGGGUGAUCUGCCCUGUACUUCGGGAUAAGCUUGGGAAACUGGGUCUAAUACCGGAUAGGACCAUGGUUUAGUGUCUCAUGGUGGAAAGAUUAUUGUUUUGGUGCAGGAUGAGCUCGCGGCCUAUCAGCUUGUUGGUGGGGUAAUGGCCUACCAAGGCGUCGACGGGUAGCCGGCCUGAGAGGGUGGACGGCCACAUUGGGACUGAGAUACGGCCCAGACUCCUACGGGAGGCAGCAGUGGGGAAUAUUGCACAAUGGGCGCAAGCCUGAUGCAGCGACGCCGCGUGGGGGAUGACGGCCUUCGGGUUGUAAACUCCUUUCGUUAGGGACGAAGCCACACCUUUUUUUGGGUGUGGUGACGGUACCUUUGUUAAGAAGCACCGGCUAACUACGUGCCAGCAGCCGCGGUAAUACGUAGGGUGCGAGCGUUGUCCGGAAUUACUGGGCGUAAAGAGCUCGUAGGUGGUUUGUUGCGUCGUCUGUGAAAUUCCGGGGCUUAACUUCGGGGUGGCAGGCGAUACGGGCAUAACUAGAGUGCUGUAGGGGAGACUGGAAUUCCUGGUGUAGCGGUGGAAUGCGCAGAUAUCAGGAGGAACACCGAUGGCGAAGGCAGGUCUCUGGGCAGUAACUGACGCUGAGGAGCGAAAGCAUGGGGAGCGAACAGGAUUAGAUACCCUGGUAGUCCAUGCUGUAAACGGUGGGCGUUAGGUGUGGGGACCGGUUUGGUUUCUGUGCCGUAGCUAACGCAUUAAGCGCCCCGCCUGGGGAGUACGGCCGCAAGGCUAAAACUCAAAGGAAUUGACGGGGGC
rnacentral:rRNA from 1 species